rnacentral:tRNA from 1 species
UCCCUGGUGGUCUAAUGGUUGGAACUUGGCACUUUCACUGCUGGGGACAGGGUUUGAUCCCUAGUCAGGGAU